ensembl:snRNA U6 U6 spliceosomal RNA
GUGCUUGCUUUGCAGCACAUAUACUAAAGUUGGAAUGGUUCAGAGAUUAGCAUCACCCUUGCUCAAGGAUGAAAUACAUUCGUGAAGGGUUCCAUAUUUUU